AGACACAUAAUUAAUAUUUGUUGUAUUGAUGAAAUAUGUAUUAUGGCAAAUCCAGACCAUGAUUUGAUUUUUUGACCAAUUGAUCCCCAUAAGCCCUAUUCCCAAGGAGAAAUUCAAUCAAUGCGCGUUCAACUAAAGUACCAGACUUUAUUUGAUCCUUACUGUGACUUAGGGCAAGAAGGUACUUUGGCCUCAUUUUAUAGAUAAGGAAACAGAGACUCAAGGAGCUAAGUGCCUGGCUGCAGAGUAUGCAACAACUAAGUAGAAAGCUGAGAAUGAACCCAGGUUUUCUGACUCCCAGUCCGCUGUUUAUUUCCCUGUUUCCCUAUUUCAUUCACCAUGUCUGCACCCUCUCUGACUGUUUCCCCAUCGUUAAUGGCACCAUGUGUACUGAAUCAAGCUCCCAUAGAUGAAAUAAUUAGAUGCAAUUGAAACCCGCCUACAACUAAGACGCAGUUUUUGAAACCAGGUCGUUUCUUAGAGCAACAACCAGUACCACGUGCUUUUCAACACUGAUAAUAUCACUUUUCAAUGCUGAUAAUAUCACUGUGGGGUGCAGGGGCAGGGUGGGGCGUAAAUAUCGCAAGUUAACUUGUCUGUAGCAAAAGAAGAGUGGAAUGGCUCCCAGAAACUUUGGUCCUCCCAACGUGAUGCUCAGAGGAGACAUUCUUGGACAGGAGAAGCGAAUGUGAUACGGAAGUACUUAUCAUAACAGGGGCAACGAGAUUGAGAUUUUGUAGUCACAGAGUUGUGCAAGUUAUGCAUAAAAUAAAGGGCUUCUGCAAAGAAAUCCAGACUUGCCUGACAUCCUGGACAAAAUACCUCCUCAGUGCUGAGACCCAUAGGUAUUUGGAAAUAUGGACACGCCUUAUAUUUGAGGAAGAAAUACACAGGUGCACAAAAAUCACAUCCCAGAAUUACUCAAAGAUGAUUUGUCAAGGCCAUUCAAACUGGGAACACACAUUCUGGAUUUGUGUCUAGAAAUUAGAUAUGGUAUACAGUGUCUUCAGAUCUCUAUCAGUAUAGACAGGACUUUGUGGACCUGUAGGUACAUGUUCGUGUAAGAGCAUAUGAGCAUGAUAUUUUAGGAACAAAGAGGAUUGGAAAGAUACAUUGUAGAGGUAAUUUAGUCCCCCUGUUUCAUUUGCACAACGAUUUUGAAGCUUAAACAGGCUUAAUGGACUAUGCAUUCCCACAUGGAGACCAGGAGUCAGCUGGCCUCUCCUUGUCCACUGGCCUCUCCAAGCACAGAGGGAGUGGGGUCUGGGAACCCCGAGAUCCAAAGGAAACUAUAGCUUUCACACAAUUUAAAUAUCAAAGUAUACACUAAAGACACACUCCUUCAGAGCUUUGGAGACUGAAGAUAGCUUGAAAACCACUGCUCUGAGGCUGAGUCUGCACAGCCAGCUAAGCUGGAUGAGAGACAAGGGUGCUCCUGGGGAGAGUCUGGAGGGCCUCACAGGCUCCCGCCACCCAGAGGAGAAAGAAGACCUUUACUCCCAUCCUCGGCAUGAGGCGCCAGGGGCCUGGUCUAAGCCUGUUCUCACUGCCUGCCAUGCCAAUCCCUAUGUUGUGUAUCUAAAGAAGUUAGCACAUCCUGGGUACACAGACCACAGCUUCCUCCCUUUGCUGAGGGCCUGUGCUUAGAGGUCUGAGCAUCGUGGAGAUAUUGCUUCACUUCUCCUUAGGGUGUCCACAUCAAGACCCUGGAGCCAUCUUACCACCCUUCCUGAUCAGAGGGGGGCCUUCUAGGUUACCUUGUCCACGCUCUCCAGACCACGCUUUGGACUUUCUCACUUUUAUUUAAGAGUCGACCCGGGGAAGGAGGAAAAAAAUCCACAGGAGAUCCGAGUCAAUUGGAAAGAAAAAAUUUCAAAAGGGUGUCCACGGCGGCGAAAAAGCCCAGACUCUGCCGACCUUCAAACGACAACAGGGCUUUCAGGAGGGUGCGGGGAGACAGCUUCGCACCCGGACCUGGCCAGAAACCCGGAACCCGCAGCCGCUCUGCCCCUCUUUCAGGCAGAGGGGACUCCGACUUCAUCACCGGGAGGCCCCCCGGGUUGCUGGGCAAAUCCUGAGCGCGGUGAUGGCCACCCCACGCCAGCUGCAGCUCCCCUGUCUGCACACACUCCUCCCAGGGCUUCAGGAGGCACAUCUGCGCUGAAACCGUUGGCUGAGUUUCUCUUCCUAACUCCUGUUGCGCCUGGCAAAUGCCAUUGUCUUCACUGCGCAGAUCAGUACAGUCACCCCAACAUCCCUAGCACCCCCAACUCCUUUUAGCAGGAGAUGCCUCUCCCAUUGGGAGUGCUCAAUAUGAACUAAAAUGAGGACCUGUCCUCCUCUUUUAGCUGAGGAACUCAAUAGCACUUUCUGUUUCUGCCUGUAAAACCAAAGCUAUGCCAAUUUCGUAAUUUUGAAGAUGGUGAUGGUGGGGAGGGGCUGGCAUAGGCAUAACUGUCACCCCCUUGUGACUCACCAGCUGGCAGUGGUGCCAUGCCUUUUGCUAUUCACCAGCCCCGCCAUGAGAAGCUUCUGUCCAUUCACAAGGUCCUCUGCCCAGAAAGAAGAACCCCGAAACUCUGAAUAGCUCUCUGAGGGAGUAUAAGAUUGCCUCCAUCCGGUGUAGACAUGCUGGGGGGCAAGUUUGCCCACUUACGUAACACUGGGUUUAAUGCUCAACUCUAUGGCUGCUGCUGCUUUUUUUAAAUCCCGAAGUGGGAAAAAGCCCUAACCAAACACAACAGUAAACAAGUUUGCCCUGUUUAAUGUGGUUACCACCAGACAUCUGGAAAGAUGGUUUGAUCCUGGCAGCUCACAUUGUUUUCACGAGCAGCCAAAGAGAAUAUUUUGAAUGUUUGCAUUGAGACAAAUUGAUAGAGAGCUUGUGGUGAGGCCGCUACAAAUGAAAACUUUCUUGGAGUUGGUGUGUGUGUGUGCGGGGAGGGUUUCUCCUUCUCUCUCCUCACAUUUCUCCCCUUCCUCCCUUUCUCUCUCUCCUCUCCCCUCCUCCCUUCUCCUCUGGCCUAGCUAGGGACUGGUGCCCUGGGCCCACACACUUGCACACACCCUCUUUCCUGGCUCAUCAGAGACUGUGCUGCCUCUCCCUUUCCCAGACUGGGCAGGGCUGGUGACCAGGAGCUGGUGCUGGGUACCAUCCCUGCCACCAGCCCCACCUGGCUUUCAAGUCAGGGGAAGCUCACAGCUAAGGAAGCUUGCCAACAUUUAAAACAAAA